CUUUCUCCGCCGGCGACCGGCGCACGGGUGAGUAACACGUAUGCAACCUGCCCCUGUCAGGGGGACAACCCGCCGAAAGGCGGGCUAAACCCGCGUACAUGCCACCGGGGCAUCCCGGAGGCAGGAAAGGCUUCGGCCGGACAGGGAUGGGCAUGCGGCGCAUUAGGCAGUGGCGGGGUAACGGCCCACCUAACCGACGAUGCGUAGGGGUUCUGAGAGGAAGGUCCCCCACACUGGUACCGAGACACGGACCAGACUCCUACGGGAGGCAGCAG
rnacentral:rRNA from 1 species